rnacentral:rRNA from 1 species
AUUGAACGCUGGCGGAAUGCUUUACACAUGCAAGUCGAACGGUAGAGGGGGCAACCCUCGAGAGUGGCGAACGGGUGAGUAAUAUAUCGGAACGUGCCCAGUCGUGGGGGAUAACGUAGCGAAAGUUACGCUAAUACCGCAUACGAUCUAAGGAUGAAAGCGGGGGAUCGCAAGACCUCGCGCGAUUGGAGCGGCCGAUAUCAGAUUAGGUCGUUGGUGGGGUAAAGGCUCACCAAGCCAACGAUCUGUAGCUGGUCUGAGAGGACGACCAGCCACACUGGAACUGAGACACGGUCCAGACUCCUACGGGAGGCAGCAGUGGGGAAUUUUGGACAAUGGACGCAAGUCUGGUCCAGCCAUUCCGCGUGCAGGAUGAAGGCCCUCGGGUUGUAAACUGCUUUUGUACGGAACGAAAAGGUCUCUCUUAAUACGGGGGACUCAUGACGGUACCGUAAGAAUAAGCACCGGCUAACUACGUGCCAGCCGCCGCCGUAA